AUGACCUGAUGACAUGUACAGAAUAUGUGCCCCCGCCCCGCCCCCCCCUGUUCGUGUGGUCAUGUGUUAGAGGGUGUUUGAACUUUUGGGGCCCAUGCCCCCCCUACACCCCCCAGUUUUAUCUCCCUUAUGGUUGUUAUCUAUGAAGCAGGAAUGUCUGGGGCUAUAGAUAGCGCUGGGGCCUCAGCAUUAUAAAUGGCUAGAACAAGCCAUUUUUUAAGACCUGAAUAUUAAGCAUCUAAAAAUAUGUCUACAAGGGGAAUUCUCGGAGUGCUCUGUAGCUCAUGUCACGAACCCAACGCCAAAAGCUUGGAGGAUAUUUUGGUAGAGGCUCCCGAAUGUUUUAACGGAUUUCUGUGUACAAGCGAGGGCCAUAUUUCGUACAUAUUCAACCCGGAGGAAUCUACGGUUAAGAUAUUCACAGACAGCGUGUCCCAACCCUUUUAUCGUGCAGAACCCGAGCCUUUUUCUCUAGCGCUAAGGAUGCGAGAAUGGCUUAAAAUAAGGCUAGCUUUGUGUCAAAUGGAACGUGCCCUGAGUGCUUCAAGGCUGCCAGGAUAUGCGCUGGAAGAACAAGUCUGUGGACGUCAGGACCUAAUGGCCCUGAGAGUCACAUCCAUGGGCUAUACCCCGGACUCCAGAGUGACAAUUUUAGCAUGUGAACAAUUUGACAGGUCAAAUGCUACGAAAACGGUCAGUCCAUAUGUAUCCUCCAAAGCAUGCAAGGAUGUAAAAUUUUUUCAAAUAAUGUUCAGUUUUAAAUGGCGCGAUUACCACAUUUUCCGAACCCUGAUGAAUAAGCUGGACAGUCUUUUCGAAAAUCGUGAACAAUUACGACGAUGGCCUAGGUUAUCGUUGAGACAUACACCGGAAGAACAACAAGUUCGAAGGCGGAUCUUUCCCUGGCAGGAAAGUGGACAGAGCUUCGACGGAGCGCGGAAAAGACUUUGUGAUGGGGAAUUGGAAACGGAUAAUGUUCAGGGCUAACAGGACCCCAUAUAUCUCCGACAUACAGCCCUUUAUGAUAAAGGAUGCGUUAUGGCCAGCUGACACGCAGGACUUUGAUGCAAUUCUACCGUUCUGUACGAGCGCUUUUUCAAACUCACCGCGAAUCCAGGGAACAUCGACCCCCUCCCGACAUAUUCCAGACCCCAACAGGCAACGAUCAACUGUGGCCCAAGUACACUGCUCCGAAUCAAGCCCACCCGAAAACUACUGUUGGGCCGGGAACUUGCUGCUUCACGAGCCGGCGCUCCAGGGACAAGACUACCCGGAGACAGAUCCAGCAGAAUCGGGAAAGCUAGAGGGAAAAAGUCACACACCCCCGGUUUCGGCGAUUCGUCACAACAAGCGCCAAAAAAGCCGAGACUCCGCACCGGCGAAAAACGGCACAGACGACCACAUAAAUCUAGAGCUGGGGGAUUCCGGCGCCCCCGAGCAUUCCGAAUGAAACACCCAAGAGACCUGUUUUUAAUGACAUGUCAGAUGUUGAUGACCAGCUAUUCUGUGAUGCGGCCAACCUUAUAGACCCAGUCAAUUCUACGGCCUCAAUACCUGCAGACGAACAAGAAAGGUUUUUCACAUUAUUUUCCAGGGCUUUGAAAUCGAGGAAUGUUUUGCUAUACAAACGACUGGGGGAUUUAAUUGAGAGACAGUACAGAGACGAUAUGUUAUUCUGGCAUAGAACAAUUCCACGCAUGUUAAACAGCAACCC